CCUUUCACCUGAAGUUUGACGAGGCCCGGAUGGACCCAAACGUGCAGAAGUGGGACGUGACUGUGCUGGAGUUGAGCCACCACAAACGACAUCUGGACCGGCCCGUCUUCCUCCGCUUCUGGGAAACACUAGACAGAUACAUGGUCAAACACAAGUCCCAUCUGCGGUUCUGAGAGCGCUGGCCGUCCACCUUCGAGAUCUUCCCUCCCUAACAGACCUGUCAAGAUGGACUGCUACACCCCUGAUCCUCUCAGCCUCGCUGAAAGCACUUUGGAUUUCAGUAUGCUUCACCCUCUGCUGACACCAGUUUGAUUUGUAGCCUCUUCCUCCACCUGUAGAUGAACAGGUCAAGGCAGGCAAGAGGAAAUGUGGAUGUUUGGGUUGGUCCUUGUUGAGUUUUCUCAGUACAUAUGCAUUUUUCUAAUUUUAACGCAGUUGGUAAUCAAGGCAGAUUUUCUUUCCUCUCUUUAUUUGUAAAACACAAGCUGGAGAGAACCAUUGAAAAUGGUAACUCAUUGGUAUGAAUACAUGACUGCUGUCUAAAACUCUUUAAUGAUAGAUUCACUUUGUUCCCUUUUUUGUUUUUUUUCUGCCUUCUGAUCUAUGAAGCAUAGAGUAGUACAUUAAGGUUCACUACACAAAUGCGAGUAGUAAAUCCAAGUCAGAU